rnacentral:lncRNA from 1 species
AGUAAUCACCAAGACUGUCAGCUGCCUGCAGUUAUCGGGAAGAGCAGCCUGGGGAAAGUUAAAGGAGCACAGAUGGACAGUUGCUUUCUGCAUGCAAGUGGCCAGCUAGGAUCCGGGGGGCAUCAAGCCAUGAUUUUUAUUUCUGUGCUGGAUGCAUUAGCAGCUGUGACUUGGAAGGUUUUAUCCUGAAGGAGUGGAAUUGCUGCAGACGUCUUGGGGUUUUGGUGAGCAGUAGAUAUUUGGGGACAUUGUGCUGUUAUUGCAGAGCCCCACAAUGAAGAUCCAGGAGCAUCCCAGCCUAUCUGACACCAAACAGCAGAGAAAUCAAGAUGCCGGUGACCAGGAGGAGAGCUUUGUCUCCGAAGUGCCCCAGUCGGACCUGACUGCAUUGUGUGAUGAAAAGAACUGGGAAGCGGGAGAACAGUGACUCUGAUGAAGCCCACCUCUCGCCGCAGGCUGGGCGCCUGAUCCGUCAGCUGCUGGACGAAGACAGCGACCCCAUGCUCUCUCCUCGGUUCUACGCUUAUGGGCAGAGCAGGCAAUACCUGGAUGACACAGAAGUGCCUCCUUCCCCAC